rnacentral:miRNA from 2 species
GCGAUAGCGUCUGUACGUCCGA